UAGGGAAUCUUCGGCAAUGGACGAAAGUCUGACCGAGCAACGCCGCGUGAGUGAAGAAGGUUUUCGGAUCGUAAAACUCUGUUGUUAGAGAAGAACAAGGACGUUAGUAACUGAACGUCCCCUGACGGUAUCUAACCAGAAAGCCACGGCUAACUACGUGCCAGCAGCCGCGGUAAUACGUAGGUGGCAAGCGUUGUCCGGAUUUAUCGGGCGUAAAGCGAGCGCAGGCGGUUUCUUAAGUCUGAUGUGAAAGCCCCCGGCUCAACCGGGGAGGGUCAUUGGAAACUGGGAGACUUGAGUGCAGAAGAGGAGAGUGGAAUUCCAUGUGUAGCGGUGAAAUGCGUAGAUAUAUGGAGGAACACCAGUGGCGAAGGCGGCUCUCUGGUCUGUAACUGACGCUGAGGCUCGAAAGCGUGGGGAGCAAACAGG
rnacentral:rRNA from 1 species